UACGGGGGGAGCAAGCGUUGUUCGGAUUUACUGGGCGUAAAGGGCGGCGUAGGCGGCGUGACAAGUCACUUGUGAAAUCUCCGGGGCUUAACUCGGAACGGUCAAGUGAUACUGUCGUGCUAGAGUACAGAAGGGGCAACUGGAAUUCUCGGUGUAGCGGUGAAAAUGCGUAGAUAUCGAGAGGAACACCUGCGGCGAAGCGGGUUGCUGGGCUGAUACUGACGCUGAGGCGCGAAAGCCAGGGGAGCGAGCGGG
rnacentral:rRNA from 1 species